rnacentral:rRNA from 1 species
AGAGUUUGAUCCUGGACUUAGGACGAACGCUGGCGGCACGCUUAACACAUGCAAGUCGAACGGAGUUAUCGAGAGCUUGCUUUUGAUAACUUAGUGGCGGACGGGUGAGUAACACGUGAGCAAUCUGCCCUUAAGAGGGGGAUAGCAGUUGGAAACGACUGAUAAUACCGCAUAAGAUAGUAGUACCGCAUGGUACAGCUAUAAAAGAUUUAUCGCUUAAGGAUGAGCUCGCGUCUGAUUAGCUAGUUGGUGAGGUAACGGCUCACCAAGGCAACGAUCAGUAGCCGGACUGAGAGGUUGGACGGCCACAUUGGGACUGAGACACGGCCCAGACUCCUACGGGAGGCAGCAGUGGGGAAUAUUGCACAAUGGAGGAAACUCUGAAUGCAGCGAUGCCGCGUGAGGGAAGAAGGUUUUAGGAUUGUAAACCUCUGUUGACAGGGACGAUAAUGACGGUACCUGUUGAGGAAGCUCCGGCUAACUACGUGCCAGCCGCCGC